GCCUGGGUGGCUCAGUCGGUUGAGCGUCCGACUUCGGCUCAGGUCACGAUCUCACGGUUCGUGGGUUUGAGCCCCGCAUCAGGCU
rnacentral:tRNA from 1 species